ACCCUACAAUCACCAGGUUCAGGAACAAUUAUUACCGUACAAUUACCGGGUUCAGGAACAGUUAUUACACUACUAUCACCAUGUUCAGGAACAGUUGUUACCCCAGAAUCACCAGGUUCAGGUACAGUUAUUACGAUACAAUCACCAAGGUCAGGAACAGUUAUUA